UCACGACGAACCUUUUGAGAGUUGUUGUUGCUGCCGCUUUUUGGGAGCCUUUGCCUUGCGGGGUUUGCGGAUUUUUUUUUUUGAACGGCUCAUCGAUAGAGAAUGAAUUAUGAGGGCGGAUGAACUAGGUUUUAUAGAUGAAAAGAACACUGUUAUUGGACUUGGACCUUGUACAUAUACUGUUUCGUUUUUCUUUCCAAACCCUGAAUUUAAAUACUCACAUUUAUUUAUUUAGUAACAGAUUUGGGUAAUAACUUUCGUAUUAAAAUUUUCCUGAUAUAUAUGUUUUGUUUUUAAAUAGAAAAUUUCUCUAACCCUAGGUUCUCUCCCUUUCCCCCUUCACUGAUUGAUAUUUACUUCCUUUUCUCCGAAGUAUGCUGCCAACCACACGGAGGCCCCUCCACGAUUUCUAUAGCGACUAUGAUGAUGACGCUAGUGAACACUUCGUGCUUCUCUUCUUCCAUAUCUCCCUACUACUCAGACUCUCCGUGCUUCUUUUCUUUAUUUUAAGGUUGUGGAGCUAAGGACUGCACAAAGCUUUUUCAUGCUUCUGAAUUUGUGUACAUCUGAAGCUGAAACUCCCAUUGCUUGCGGUUGAACAAACUUCAAAAUUGUACGAGGAUCCCUAUACUCAAAAUAACAUGAAGUAAGUGAUUCCAAAGGACCAGGUUUAUCGCACGAUCCCUGUCAGAUAGCAUCCUAUGCUUGAGAUGCUGCAUAGACAGUCUGUGUGGUCAGAUAGCAUAAAAAUGUUUAUUCGAGUUGAGGCGGAGAAGGUGAUUCCAAAGGACCAGGUUUAUUGCACGAUCCUUGUCAAUUACUGCCAUAGGAACUGGUUGGUUUUAGAUUAUUCUGCGUGGUUUGGUUAAAGUGUGGCUGUCGUGCCUUUCAAGAGCGGGUUGAUAAAUUCAGCUCCUUCUGGUGGAGAGAUUUGCAUGUGCUGGGAAAAAAAGAAGGAAGGUUUAGUAAUAGGUGGUUUGAUAACAACUUGUCCAAAGUAAUCGGGGAUGGAACAAAAUCUUUUUUUGGGAAGGAUCCUUGGCUGGAAAGCGUGAGACUGAAGGAUAAAUAUCCUGGCCUGUGUAAGAUGUCGAAGGAUAAGGAAAUUUCAAGUUGUGACGCGAUUAGGAAUGAGAAUGGGAGAUCAGUUUGAAACGGAGAAUCGGAGGGUAGGCUGGAGGGGGAAAAUGCUAAGUGUGAAGAGGAAAUUAGAUAUUUGGUUAGUAGAGUUUCUCUUAGGAACAAUGUUAAAGAUAAAUGGAGUUGGCAUAAGGGUGAGUAUUCGGUCAAAGAAGCGUAUCAAAUGAUCAUGGAAGGGCUGAUAAAUUCCAUAGAAGAUAACAAAGAGUUGGUGACUGUUUUGAACAAAAUUGUUCCGCUAAAAAUUUCGGUACUAGUGUGGAGAAUUUGCCAAAACAAAAUACCAAGUAGAGUGAACUUAGUGAAGAGGGGGAUCUUAGUCGAAUCUCAAAAUUCAUACCCUUAUGGCUGCGGGAGAGUGAAAAAUGUUGAACACAUCUUCGAAUAUCCGGCAGCUUUGGUUGCAUGGAGCGAGGUCCUAAGAUGGUUGGGUUUCACAUAUGUAUUUCACAAUUCUGCUAUACAAAAUUUUGCUCAUUUUACAGGUUUAAGCAACGGCGGCUGAGUGCUUAGAGAGAAAUUUUCAGUCAUUUGGUUUGCGAGUAUUUGGAUCAUUUGGAAAAGGAGGAACGAGAAGAUCUUAAGAACCACAUCGCUGCACAAUUAUCCUUGUAUUGAAGACAUUCAAGUGAUCGCGUGGAGGUGGCUAAAGGCAAAAGUAAUUGGAUUCACUUAUACGUAAAGUCAAUGGACUACAAACCCAAAAGAAUGCAUCGGAUGGAUUGGGAAAGAUUAAUGGAGUGAGGGAGGAUCGGAGCCAGUUUUGAGUGUUUUUGCAGCGCAUAUUUUGAUGACGAGUCUGGCGAUUACUGCAUUAUAGUAUGUUUGUUGUUGGCCAACUUGCUUUGGAUCCGGUGUUCGCAUUUUCAAAAAGUCCAGACGUAGCGGCUGGUGCAUGAUUUCGCGGAGUUUUGAAGCAUUUUUUUGCUGGUUAGGGGAUUCUGAUGUGUUUGGGUGUGGUGCCUAGUCUUAUAGUAUUUAUCUGGAGUCGGCUUUGUGUUCAAGCGUGUUGUGUUUAGGUGGCAAUCGGUCAGUCCGCUUUGCUUGUUCUGUCUGCUGUGGUUCCAGUUUUUGCAGGGUCGGGUCCAAUAUUGGAGAAGACCAAGGAGUGGAGCACCUUGCGUAUCAGCAAUGUGGUUCGGCUGGUUCUCCUAUUAUGCAGGUCUGUUAGCUAUUGCAGGUGGUUUGGGUGUGUCCGUUUUGGGGAUAAAUUUUCUGUCAGGUUUGAUAGGCAGCGGCGAAGUUACGUCUCUGUGGAUUUCGGCUUUGGCGUUUCGGUUAAGGGUCUGUGUGUUUGUGUCGAGCUCCUGAAUUGCAAAUUAUCGCGGUAUUGGGUUCGCCGAUGUCUGGUUUUUUCUCCUUUUUGUGGAAUAGCAUGCGUUUGGUGGAUGAGGCCAAUUUUGUGACUGCAAUCUCAGCUCUAGUUUGGCAUGUCACUGUUAUUUCUUUGCCUGGCAUAACAGUGAAAUUGACUGCAUCUGGUAGAAAAUUUUCGACGGCAAAGUGGCUGCUGGCUCGGCUAUGUUAUUUGGGCUGCGUAUCAUUUUGGAUUGGAGUUAUUGCCUCUUGCUAGUUCUGCUUCAUAUCAUUGAAUUUUGUUGAUUCUGUAAUAGAAAGAAGGGAAUGGCUUUUGAAUCUAAGACAGAAGAAUCUUUGCUUGGAUAAUUUACUUUAAUGUCUCAGCCUUUCACUUAGUGUCUGGUUUUGGAGUUUUGUAACACUUUAUUUUAUUAUGGCAUUGCUUAUGCCUUUCUACUAA